UACGGGGGGGGCAAGCGUUGUUCGGAAUUACUGGGCGUAAAGGGCCAGUAGGCGGCCAACUAAGUCCGACGUGAAAUCCCCAGGCUUAACCUGGGAACUGCGUCGGAUACUGGAUGGCUUGAAUUCGGGAGAGGGAUGCAGAAUUCCAGGUGUAGCGGUGAAAUGCGUAGAUAUCUGGAGGAAUACCGGUGGCGAAGGCGACUACCUGGCCUGUUCUUGACGCUGAGGCGCGAAAGCUAGGGGAGCAAACGGG
rnacentral:rRNA from 1 species